rnacentral:misc_RNA from 2 species
UAGAGUUUUCAAAACUCCCAAACCCAUGUGAACUUACCUAUGUUGCCUCGGUGGGAGCCUACCCUGUACCUACCCUGUAACGGGUUACCCGGGAGCGGCCCCACCGGUGGACUUUUUAACUCUUGUUAUUUUAUGUAAUCUGAGAGUCUUAUUUUAAAUAAGUCA